CCAGCGUCGGGGAGGAGCGGCCCCGCCUGCCGGCAUUUCUACUUCCGGAGAGAAGCGAGGCCCGCGGGUCGCGCAGGCCGUGGUUCCUUGUUCCAGCAGCCCUGAGCAAUGGGUGCCUUCUCCCAUUUCUUUGAUUUGAAAGGCACUUGGAACAAGCGAACACAGGGACUGAGACAGACUGCCCUCCCCCCUGCCUUGGGCAGAGCUACAGAUGAAGACUAUAAUGGCCGCUAACUCUGGGACCAGUGCCUAGACAGAGCAAGGUAAAUGUGGGGGACAGUGACCCUGUACCCUUGGUUGUCAUUAAGGAUGUGCCACUUCUCAGCUAAAGAUACAGACUGAAGGAAAAAAGGCAAAAAAAAAAAAAUCUUAACGGCACAGCCCUUUGCCACAGCUUUAUGCUACUGAGCCCCCCAAAUUCCUGUCUUGCAUUCUUGAUUCAUCCUCCCUUCUUGGUCUUGUGAAGGACUGGCUGAUUUGUAAGCAUUCAGACACUAACUGAAUGACGCCAAUGCCUGCUCUGGGACUGACACCAAUUAGAUGCAGCUAACACGGCCAAUAGGUAUUAUGGGCGUCCUGAGAAGCAAUACGCCAGAAAGAAGAAAAAGACAAAAGACAGAAAAGCAGAGGGUGAGGGCACUGGCGCAUGGGCUACUGUCCAUGUACAUGUCUGUUUGAAAGAGAACAGGAGAUGCAAAUCUGAGGGGGUGUUUCUCUUUAAAAAUGAUAGGGAUGCUUCACUUUCUGUAGCAAAAUAAAUACAGGUGGCAAUCUUGUAUCUACAUGGUCACCUGAAACAUAAAUGAAUGACAGUGCUCAUGCAAAAAUAUUUAAAGCCUAACUGUCAAAAAGAACUGAUAAAAAUGAAUAAUCAUAUCCAUAGAAGUAAUAAGUCGGCCUCGUGAGUGACUGAAAACACAGAGCCAGCUGCUUUGAGCAGAUUCAGACAUGAUUUUAGGCCCAAGUCCCAGCUCUACACCCACCAACUGUCUGACCUUGGGCAAGCUACCUGACCUCUAGAGCUUCAGUUUCCAAAUCUUUAAAAUGGGGAUGCUUGUACCUGCCCCCAACAUUUUUGUGAAGAUCAAAGAAGACACUUAGAACAGGGUUUGGCAUAUACCAAGUGUUCCAUAAAUAUUAUCACUCUAUACAGACUAACUUAUAGUUAUACAUCAAAUACCAAAGCAAAAAUCUUAAGGAAAAAACUUUCUGGAAAAGUCUUAAACUUAUUUGGUAAGACAUUGCAUGCCUUGUAGACUGUAUCAUAUUACCUGCUGCUUGUGUUUAUUGUAAACAAUUUAUUUUUAUUUCACUCAGCUUAACCUCUAAAUUUUAAUAACUUUUAAGUAAAAAUCUGUUUAAUUAGGAAAAUCAACAAUUUAAAUACUAGAAGCUUAAAUAAUCAAAACUAAAUUUGCUUCUCUCACAGACAUCCACACAACUAUUCAUGUUUCAUUUCUGGAGACAGCUAGAAUCUAUGCUGGUGAUUUCUUUUUCAUUCCUUUAUUACGAUGGGUAAGGGUGAGGGAGCCUGCAACAAUUGUCAUUUGAGGAAGCUGCAACAAUGUUUAAAUUUUUUCCUUGUAUUUCUUCCCUUUCCAUAACAAAUAAAGGUGGGGGGCAAUAUCAAAUUAGUAUAAUUUUGAGGAAAGUCUGUAAAACAAAUUUCUGUAACAUCAAAUCUGGUUUAGUGGAAAUCCCUCUAUUAAGCAAUGAGGUCAUGUCUCUUGCAAUGAAUCAUGUCCAUUAAAUUUAUCUUCUUUUCUGGAUA